rnacentral:rRNA from 1 species
UACGUAGGUCGCAAGCGUUGUCCGGAUUUACUGGGCGUAAAGAGCGCGCAGGCGGCUGGUCAAGUCCGAUGUGAAAUCUCCCGGCUCAACUGGGAAACUGCAUCGGAAACUGAUCGGCUUGAAGGUGGGAGAGGGUAGUGGAAUUCCCGGUGUAGUGGUGAAAUGCGUAGAUAUCGGGAGGAACACCAGUGGCGAAGGCGGCGAUCUGGGAAGAUACUGACGCUGAGGUGCGAAAGCGUGGGGAGCAAACAGG